rnacentral:rRNA from 1 species
GCUUAACACAUGCAAGUCGAGGGGCAGCACAAGGCAGCAAUGCUGAGGUGGCGACCGGCGCACGGGUGCGUAACGCGUAUCCAACCUUCCCGUUACUCUUGGAUAGCCUUCCGAAAGGGAGAUUAAUACAAGAUGGUGUUGAAAUUCCGCAUGUUAUUUCAACUAAAGAUUUAUCGGUAACGGAUGGGGAUGCGUGACAUUAGAUAGUAGGCGGGGUAACGGCCCACCUAGUCUACGAUGUCUAGGGGUUCUGAGAGGAAGGUCCCCCACACUGGAACUGAGACACGGUCCAGACUCCUACGGGAGGCAGCAGUGAGGAAUAUUGGUCAAUGGCCGGAAGGCUGAACCAGCCAAGUAGCGUGAAGGAUGAAGGUUCUAUGGAUUGUAAACUUCUUUUAUGAGGGAAUAAAACCUCCCACGUGUGGGAGCUUGUAUGUACCUUAUGAAUAAGCAUCGGCUAACUCCGUGCCAGCAGCCGCGGUAAUACGGAGGAUGCGAGCGUUAUCCGGAUUUAUUGGGUUUAAAGGGAGCGUAGACGGGAGAUUAAGUCAGCUGUGAAAGUUUGAGGCCCAACCUUAAAAUUGCAGUUGAUACUGGUUUCCUUGAGUGCGGUUGAGGUGUAUGGAAUUCGUGGUGUAGCGGUGAAAUGCUUAGAUAUCACGAA